UACGGAGGAGGCAAGCGUUAUCCGGAAUUAUUGGGCGUAAAGCGUCCGCAGGUGGCACUUCAAGUCUGUCGUCAAAGACUGGGGCUUAACCCUGGAAAGGCGGUGGAAACUGAAGCGCUAGAGUGCGGUAGGGGUAGAGGGAAUUCCCGGUGUAGCGGUGAAAUGCGUAGAGAUCGGGAAGAACAUCGGUGGCGAAGGCACUCUACUGGGCUAUUACUGACACUCAGAGACGAAAGCUAGGGGAGCAAAUGGG
rnacentral:rRNA from 1 species